rnacentral:rRNA from 1 species
UACGUAGGGUGCGAGCGUUGUCCGGAAUUAUUGGGCGUAAAGAGCUCGUAGGCGGUUUGUCGCGUCGAUCGUGAAAACUUGGGGCUUAACCCUGAGCUUGCGGUCGAUACGGGCAUGACUGGAGUUCGGCAGGGGAGACUGGAAUUCCUGGUGUAGCGGUGAAAUGCGCAGAUAUCAGGAGGAACACCGGUGGCGAAGGCGGGUCUCUGGACAGUUCCUGACACUGAGACACGAAGGCCAGGGGAGCAAACGGG